CCUACGGGAGGCAGCAGUGAGGAAUAUUGGUCAAUGGACGAGAGUCUGAACCAGCCAAGUAGCGUGAAGGAUGACUGCCCUAUGGGUUGUAAACUUCUUUUAUAUGGGAAUAAAAUGUUCCACGUGUGGGAUUUUGUAUGUACCAUAUGAAUAAGGAUCGGCUAACUCCGUGCCAGCAGCCGCGGUAAUACGGAGGAUCCGAGCUUUAUCCGGAUUGAUUGGGUGUAAAGGGAGCGUAGGUGGACUGUCAAGUCAGUGGUGAAAGUUUGCGGCUCAACCGUAAAAUUGCAGUUGAAACUGGAAGGCUUGAGUGCAGUAGAGGCGGGCGGAAUUCGUGGUGUAGCGGUGAAAUGCUUAGAUAUCACGAAGAACUCCGAUUGCGAAGGCAGUUCACUGGACUGCAACUGACACUGAGGCUCGAAAGUGUGGGUAUCGAACAGGAUUAGAUACCCCAGUAGUC
rnacentral:rRNA from 1 species